rnacentral:rRNA from 1 species
UGAACAAUUAAAUAGCCGCAAUUUACCCGCGCUAAGGUAGCAUAAUCAUUUGUCUCUUAAUUAGAGACUAGUAUGAAAGGUUAAACAUUCAACCCCUGUUUCAAAUUAAACAGACAAAUCUAUUCUAAAUAUCAAAAAAUAUUUAUAAAAAAAAAAGACGACAAGACCCUAUCAAACUUUAACUAAAGUUCAGCUGGGGCAGCUAUUUAAAAAAAAUUUAAGCGUAAACUAAACUAACCAAUAUAUAAACCUACUACAAGUAAAAACAGAUCAAGUUACUGUAGGGAUAACAGCGCAAUAAUUUUCAAAAGCUCAUAUAAAAAAAAAAGAUUGCGACCUCGAUGUUGAAUUAAUUUAAUCUACUAAGUGCAACCACUUAGCA